rnacentral:tRNA from 1 species
ACUUAAGUAGUUUAAAAUAAAAUUAAAGUUUGUGGUACUUUAGAUACAUUAUUGUCUUGGGUU